rnacentral:rRNA from 1 species
UACGUAGGGUGCAAGCGUUAUCCGGAAUUAUUGGGCGUAAAGAGCUCGUAGGCGGUUUGUCGCGUCUGCUGUGAAAACUGGAGGCUCAACCUCCAGCCUGCAGUGGGUACGGGCAGACUAGAGUGCGGUAGGGGAGAUUGGAAUUCCUGGUGUAGCGGUGAAAUGCGCAGAUAUCAGGAGGAACACCGGUGGCGAAGGCGGGUCUCUGGGCAAUAACUGACGCUGAGGAGCGAAAGCAUGGGGGAGCGAACAGG